GACGAACCGUGCGAACGUUGUUCGGAAUCACUGGGCUUAAAGGGCUCGUAGGCGGCCAACUAAGUCAGACGUGAAAUCCCUCGGCUUAACCGGGGGAACUGCGUCUGAUACUGGAUGGCUAGAGUUUUGGGAGAGGGAUGCGGAAUUCCAGGUGUAGCGGUGAAAAUGCGUAGAUAUCUGGAGGAACACCGGUGGCGAAGGCGGCAUCCUGGACCAACACUGACGCUGAGGAGCGAAAAGCCAGGGGGAGCAAAACGGGGAU
rnacentral:rRNA from 1 species